UUUGAAUUACUGAUAAGGGCGAGGAUCAGGCCAGGUUGGGCAGUUCUUCAGCACGGGGAGCAGGGGACUCUGCCCCUGUGAUUCUGGGGGGAGCUGGCCCUGGCCCACUGCGGAUUCAGAGGCAGACGCUGGGCUCCCUGAGCCUCGGGGAGGGCACCUGUGACGUCGCCGUGCAGAAUUCUCAGUCUGGAGCCAGGACCCAAAGAAGACAGUCACUUUAGA